rnacentral:rRNA from 1 species
UUUAAUUCGAAGCAACGCGAAGAACCUUACCAGGUCUUGACAUCCUCUGACAACCCUAGAGAUAGGGCUUCUCCUUCGGGAGCAGAGUGACAGGUGGUGCAUGGUUGUCGUCAGCUCGUGUCGUGAGAUGUUGGGUUAAGUCCCGCAACGAGCGCAACCCUUGAUCUUAGUUGCCAUCAUUUAGUUGGGCACUCUAAGGUGACUGCCGGUGACAAACCGGAGGAAGGUGGGGAUGACGUCAAAUCAUCAUGCCCCUUAUGACCUGGGCUACACACGUGCUAGAAUGGACGGUACAAAGAGCUGCAAGACCGCGAGGUGGAGCUAAUCUCAUAAAACCGUUCUCAGUUCGGAUUGUAGGCUGCAACUCGCCUACAUGAAGCUGGAAUCGCUAGUAAUCGCGGAUCAGCAUGCCG